rnacentral:rRNA from 1 species
AAUCAACGCUGGCGGCGUGCCUCAGACAUGCAAGUCGAACGAUUAAGACUUCCUUCGGGAAGUGCAUAAAGUGGCGCACGGGUGAGUAACACGUAAGUAAUCUACCCUCGAGUGGGGAAUAACGUUCGGAAACGAACACUAAUACCGCAUAAUGCAGCGGCAGCGCAAGAUGACAGUUGUUAAAGGAGUAAUUCGCUUGAGGAGGAGCUUGCGGCAGAUUAGCUAGUUGGUAAGGUAACGGCUUACCAAGGCUACGAUCUGUAUCCGGUCUAAGAGGACGGUCGGACACACUGACACUGAAUAACGGGUCAGACUCCUACGGGAGGCAGCAGUCGGGAAUUUUGGGCAAUGGGCGAAAGCCUGACCCAGCAACGCCGCGUGAAGGAUGAAGUAUUUCGGUAUGUAAACUUCGAAAGAAUGGGAAGAAUAAAUGACGGUACCAUUUAUAAGCUCCGGCUAACUACGUGCCAGCCGCCGCUGUAACAC